rnacentral:rRNA from 1 species
AAAUUGAAGAGUUUGAUCAUGGCUCAGAUUGAACGCUGGCGGCAGGCCUAACACAUGCAAGUCGAACGGUAACAGGAAGAAGCUUGCUUCUUUGCUGACGAGUGGCGGACGGGUGAGUAAUGUCUGGGAAACUGCCUGAUGGAGGGGGAUAACUACUGGAAACGGUAGCUAAUACCGCAUAACGUCGCAAGACCAAAGAGGGGGAUCUUCGGGCCUCUUGCCAUCGGAUGUGCCCAGAUGGGAUUAGCUAGUAGGUGGGGUAA